CAAAUCUUUCUUCCAACCAAAAACCUACUGGCAACCUGCACAUUCAAUAAGUAUAUGGACAACACAUCCAAAAUCCACCAUUCUUUGUUCCUUUAUUCAUGUAGUUUGCUCCAUCUCCCCUCUUCUAUCCCAGACAUUUUAUGUAUACCUAAUUGUGCUCUAAAUUGAUAGUCAAAAAAGCCCCACUAAAAGGGCUUACUAGUAUUGAGAAACCUCCUCCAAUCAAGACUUUUUAAUUUUAUAAUAUAUUCUUAUCUGCAGAAAAGCCCUGGGCAUUCUAAGGAAGGAAGGCAUGUGAUAGGGUAACAGGGAGUGAGGCAGCUGUUUUGGGACAGGGCACACAGCCAACUAGCAUCAUGAUCUCUAUCAUAAGAGGCUCCUCCUGGUCAUGUCAAUACAGAUUUGAUUCUACUUUUCACAUGGCUGAUGAGUUACCUGGAUCUACACAUUUCAAUCUCAAUGUUCCAAAGAAAGCCUACACAGAGGAGCUUAAGCCUAGAGUCCAUUCAUUCUAAUGUUCAGAAGACCACAAUUUGAGUAGACUUAAAAACCUCAUUACUGUUGAAAACAAAUUUUGGCUCAAGUAAAAGCUAACUUUGCUCAGUUCCUGACUUUCACUUAAAAAUGUUGUUAAUGAUUUGCUCAUAUUUGAAAUCAAAAUGUUAAAACAAAUUUGGAGACACGUUGUUAACACAUACUGGUGGCCUCAAUAUUCUAAGAGCACAAAUGAGCAUGUGCAACCUCCUUAGCAUUAUGAUGUCAAGAAAACCUCUAUCCCUCCAUGUGGGUGUCCAGAACUAAUGGAUGGCCACCGGAUGCCACAAGAGGAAAUCAGGAUCACUAGAUGAGACCUCUUAGCUCCAGUCCAAGAGGCCCUUUGCUGAUUCCAACCGCAACAUCCAACAUCGGCCACUAAUUCAGCCAGCUGAUGGAGUCUUGCUCUGUCACCAGGUUGGAGUGCAGU
rnacentral:lncRNA from 1 species